AUUGAACGCUGGCGGCAUGCCUUACACAUGCAAGUCGAGCGAAUGGAUUAAGAGCUUGCUCUUAUGAAGUUAGCGGCGGACGGGUGAGUAACACGUGGGUAACCUGCCCAUAAGACUGGGAUAACUCCGGGAAGCCGGGGCUAAUACCGGAUAACAUUUUGAACCGCAUGGUUCGAAAUUGAAAGGCGGCUUCGGCUGUCACUUAUGGAUGGACCCGCGUCGCAUUAGCUAGUUGGUGAGGUAACGGCUCACCAAGGCAACGAUGCGUAGCCGAGCGGGGAGGGAGAGCGGCCACACUGGGACUGAGACACGGCCCAGACUCCUGCGGGAGGCAGCAGUAGGGAAUCUUCCGCAAUGGACGAAAGUCUAACGGAGCAACGCCGCGUGAGUGAUGAAGGCUUUCGGGUCGUAAAACUCUGUUGUUAGGGAAGAACAAGUGCUAGUUGAAUAAGCUGGCACCUUGACGGUACCUAACCAGAAAGCCACGGCUAACUACGUGCCAGCCGCCGCAGUAA
rnacentral:rRNA from 1 species